UGUGUGUGUGUGGGUCGGUGAUCAUUGUCUGAACAACUUGAAAUGGUGAUGUUUCUUCAGAGAUUCAAGGAGGAUACUAAGGCACUGGAAGCAUCCAAAAAUCCAACCCUACACCUCGAAUGCCACCUGCAACUGUCCUCCAGCUGACAUUCUGCUUUUGCAUCCCAAGCUGAAAAGUCUGAAGCUGCUUUCAGAUCAACAUGAAGUGGGAACAACUCACAAUGAAAUGCAACUUCUUGUUAAAGCCACUCGAAAUCACCUCAAACAGCAGAGGGAUUAUCUGAUGUCCAUGAAUCCACCACUAAGGUUGGAUUGGGGGGAUGUAUCAAAUUCAAGCCAUCGAAGGAGGACAAUCUCGACAAUCUCAACUGGUGGAAGGACCAUUCAAUAAUAUUUCUGAAUCUGGCACAUAUUGCUCCUUCAAUUUACUCAAUUCCAGCGCCAUCGCAAGUGAAAGAGAUUUUUCCACAGCUGGACUCAUGAUCCAAGAGAGAAGAAGCCAACUGAAACCCGUGACAGUGGAUGCCGUCCUUGUCUGCAUAGUAAUCUAAAGAAACACUAAAUGCUUGGUUGCCGGAGCACUGAAUGUCUAAGUUGAGCAAUCUCAGGAUGCUGGUGUCUUGGCCACUAGGGGGCUUGUGCGAACAAGAUCAAUACAAAGCCGGCCAGUUGAAAUCUGAGGUGAAAGAGGGUAUGUAUGUCACAACAGACCCCGUUUUCCCCUGUGUUCACUAAUGUCACAAUACAUAACUGCUAGAUAUACAGCCUUACCAUAGAUUGUUCACCAGCCACAUUAAAAACUGAUUUUACCCUGAAUAUUAAAUCAUAAAACAGGUAAGUUAAUGUUACAACUACAGCUAGUUCCAAAAGGAGAACUGAUCUUCAGCUUCAUUUCAUGUAGAUGUAGAUGUGUACGAUGAUUAAAACCAAAGACUUCCCAAUGAGUAAUAUCCAUUAAUAUUCUGUCUCUUUGAUUUCACUCAUAAAGUACAAUUCAAUUAUAAUAAACAUGUUAUGGUUGGAUUUAUUCAACCAAAAUCACUAAAAUUCAAUUUAAAAUUAAUGAAUUCAAAUAUAUUGAAUUUAAUUUCAUAUUAGGCCAAAUUACUUGCAUUCAUAUUUAUUACUUAUAUGUUGCUUUUUGUUUUUUAAUUUAAUAUUAAUUCCCCCGAUCUUACUUUUUACAGUGUGGUCCAAAUAUCACCUUUUACCAGGCACACGCCUUGUUCCAAUGAUUUUUCUCUCCCUGCUGUUGAUGUUAAAAUGCUUGUUUGAGUUCCACUGUGCAGCUCCACACAAAUGCUGAGGGGCAUUGUGCUGUAUGCAACCUUUUCUGUUUUUCAGUCAAUGACAACAUGAAUGUUAUCCGUUUAACAAGGUAAACAUGCCCUUCAGAUCAAUUUUUGUAUUUCCUCUCACCAUUAGACAUUCCUCAGCACGAAGUGACUCCACAUGACACCGUUCUAAUAGGUCAAGCUCUCUCCGCAAGAAUUCCUGUCCUCAGCCCUCAGAACCCUAGGACCCUUGGCCGAGUCACAAUUACAUUUUCCAAGUUAAGGAACAAAGCCUGAUAGUGAAAUGGUUAAGACAUGCUAUCUCCUGUCUGUUUCAUUCAUUGGAGCUGCAACUAGACACUGCAGUACAUUCUGAUUCACUU